CGGUUUGUUUCAAAGCUGACCGAUCAGUUGAGUGCAGAAGUGGUUCUUGGUACGGUUCAAAACACACAUGAAGUCACGUGAAAACCAAAGCUCCUCACAUUGCAACCAUUUACUGCAGUAACAAAAGAUUAACAGCCAAGCAGUAAGAAUCCAAAAAAAUCCCAAAUUUGGAAUUAAGACAAAAACGAGGACGAAAGUAUGUAGGUUCAGAUUACCGUUCUGAAUCCAAGCAUCAAAAAAGCUAAUGCAAACUGAGUUCACCGAAAGGAUGUUGGCAGAUACCUGUUUUACUUUACCAUACAACAAUCCGAAACCCUAAAUCUGCAAAAUAUAAAUAAGAGGAGGCGAAUUAGUGAGAAGAAAGAAAAAAAUUGAAAGAGGCAGGCGACCACAAAAACGAAACCCUAAUCCUUCACAAACUCCCUUCUAACCUUCGGGACACCGCCUACACGGAUCUCUCCACUUCAAACGUCGCCGACAACCACCGACGUCGCCUCCGACGUAUCGUCCUUCCGCUUUCACCGCACGGUAACUCUCUUUUUGCUUUGCCGUUCGGUUCGGUAUUCCGAUGUUGACGGUUUUCUUUGAACAUGAUUUUUCCUUGUAAAAAAAAAUUGGAAAGACAAAGAUCGUGAGCGAGAGAUUUUGAAAACAGAAAAUUGAUUACGGGAGAUGGCGAUUUUUAUUUGAAGCCAUGGCUAUGGGUGUAUCGAGAGAGUGAUUGCCGAUGGAAUGAAUUUAUUUUCCUCAAAUGUUUGUUUUGUUUGUAUGAAAAGCGUGAGAGAGGAAGAGAUGAAAUUGAGAGUGAGAAGCGUAUUGUUUUUUAUUUACCUUCUGCUGUACUGUCAUUAGCGGAGAGAGAUUAAAGGUUUAAUUUGUUAUUUAAUUUAUAAUGUUAAUAAGCUAGGACACAUGUCAUUAUCU
rnacentral:lncRNA from 1 species